AGCAGUCGCCACGGGAAUACAGAGGAUGCAAGCGUUAUCCGGAAUGAUUGGGCGUAAAGCGUCUGUAGGUGGCUUUUCAAGUCCGCCGUCAAAUCCCGAGGCUCAACCCCGGAACUGCUUUUGAUACUGGCGAUCUUGAGUCCGGGAGAGGUGAGUGGAACUGCGAGUGUAGAGGUGAAAUUCGUAGAUAUUCGCAAGAACACCGGUGGCGAAGGCGGCUCACUGGCCCGGUACUGACGCUGAGGCACGAAAGCGUGGGGAGCAAACAGGAUUAGAUACCCCUGUAGUCCUUGUCUCUUAUAC
rnacentral:rRNA from 1 species